GACGAACGCUGGCGGCGUGCUUAACACAUGCAAGUCGAACGGAAAGGCCCUGCUUUUGUGGGGUGCUCGAGUGGCGAACGGGUGAGUAACACGUGAGUAACCUGCCCUUGACUUUGAGAUAACUUCAGGAAACUGGGGCUAAUACCGGAUAGGAGCUCCUGCUGCAUGGUGGGGGUUGGAAAGUUUCGGCGGUUGGGGAUGGACUCGCGGCUUAUCAGCUUGUUGGUGGGGUGGCUUACCAAGGCUUUGACGGGUAGCCGGCCUGAGAGGGUGACCGGCCACAUUGGGACUGAGAUACGGCCCAGACUCCUACGGGAGGCAGCAGUGGGGAAUAUUGCACAAUGGGCGGAAGCCUGAUGCAGCAACGCCGCGUGCGGGAUGACGGCCUUCGGGUUGUAAACCGCUUUCGCCUGUGACGAAGCGUGAGUGACGGUAAUGGGUAAAGAAGCACCGGCUAACUACGUG
rnacentral:rRNA from 1 species